rnacentral:rRNA from 1 species
CAAACCGACACAGGUGGUCAGGUAGAGAAUACCAAGGCGCUUGAGAGAACUCGGGUGAAGGAACUAGGCAAAAUGGUGCCGUAACUUCGGGAGAAGGCACGCUGAUAUGUAGGUGAAGUCCCUCGCGGAUGGAGCUGAAAUCAGUCGAAGAUACCAGCUGGCUGCAACUGUUUAUUAAAAACACAGCACUGUGCAAACACGAAAGUGGACGUAUACGGUGUGACGCCUGCCCGGUGCCGGAAGGUUAAUUGAUGGGGUCAGCGCAAGCGAAGCUCUUGAUCGAAGCCCCGGUAAACGGCGGCCGUAACUAUAACGGUCCUAAGGUAGCGAAAUUCCUUGUCGGGUAAGUUCCGACCUGCACGAAUGGCGUAAUGAUGGCCAGGCUGUCUCCACCCGAGACUCAGUGAAAUUGAACUCGCUGUGAAGAUGCAGUGUACCCGCGGCAAGACGGAAAGACCCCGUGAACCUUUACUAUAGCUUGACACUGAACAUUGAGCCUUGAUGUGUAGGAUAGGUGGGAGGCUUUGAAGUGUGGACGCCAGUCUGCAUGGAGCCGACCUUGAAAUACCACCCUUUAAUGUUUGAUGUUCUAACGUGGACCCGUGAUCCGGGUUGCGGACAGUGUCUGGUGGGUAGUUUGACUGGGGCGGUCUCCUCCUAAAGAGUAACGGAGGAGCACGAAGGUUGGCUAAUCCUGGUCGGACAUCAGGAGGUUAGUGCAAUGGCAUAAGCCAGCUUGACUGCGAGCGUGACGGCGCGAGCAGGUGCGAAAGCAGGUCAUAGUGAUCCGGUGGUUCUGAAUGGAAGGGCCAUCGCUCAACGGAUAAAAGGUACUCCGGGGAUAACAGGCUGAUACCGCCCAAGAGUUCAUAUCGACGGCGGUGUUUGGCACCUCGAUGUCGGCUCAUCACAUCCUGGGGCUGAAGUAGGUCCCAAGGGUAUGGCUGUUCGCCAUUUAAAGUGGUACGCGAGCUGGGUUUAGAACGUCGUGAGACAGUUCGGUCCCUAUCUGCCGUGGGCGCUGGAGAACUGAGGGGGGCUGCUCCUAGUACGAGAGGACCGGAGUGGACGCAUCACUGGUGUUCGGGUUGUCAUGCCAAUGGCACUGCCCGGUAGCUAAAUGCGGAAGAGAUAAGUGCUGAAAGCAUCUAAGCACGAAACUUGCCCCGAGAUGAGUUCUCCCUGACCCUUUAAGGGUCCUGAAGGAACGUUGAAGACGACGACGUUGAUAGGCCGGGUGUGUAAGCGCAGCGAUGCGUUGAGCUAACCGGUACUAAUGAACCGUGAGGCUUAACCUUACAACGCCGAAGGUGUUU